UUUUUUUUUUUUUUUUUUUUUUUUUUGGCUAGUCCGUAGUUCAUCAGGAAAACAUGGACGAUGAAUACACAAGUACAAUGGACAGAUGGCCUUACGUUUUAGGUUUCUGGGGCCGUCUUGGAAAUCUUCCUGUCCCAUUGCCGGUAGAUGCAUCAUACACAUAACCAACCAGAGCAUCUGAGUCUUUGGGGGGAGGGGGUUAGGAUACGUGAAGUGAGGGGUGCAUCACAGGAGGUCCAAGGUGAGCUUCAAACCUCCCAGAUGAAAAAGCCAACGAAUACAUGUGACAAAGCAGAAAGAGUGGUUGAUUCCAGAGCUGAAGACCUGGGGCUGAAAUCCAGGCUUUGCUACCUUCUACACUACUAAGCCAGCUGGGUUUGCUGGUCCAUGAGGUGGAAGGUCAUCCCCUGUGAGGGCCCACACCAAGCGCUGUGGGCUCCAGGACUGCAUGGAGAUGCCCAAGGGGGAAGCUGGCACAGAGGGAGUGGAGACGUCAGCCUUCACUCAGAGUGGAUCCCACGGGCCUAGCCAAGAGGCAGCGGCUUCUGAGAACACCCCUGACUGCACGAGUCAGAGCAGCCAAGUGUUAAGGGCUGCAUGUACCCAGGGGUUUUACAGGGUCAGAGGAGGAGGCAACGGUCCCGCCUUAGCAAUCUCAGCUGAAUUGAACUUAGGAGAAAGUUCUCACCAAUCUCAGCAUAUUUUAACUAAGGGUUAAAAAAACAUCAAUUUCUCAUUCCUUGAGUGGUAUGGAGAAACCCAAACCUGUUAUAAUUUUAAUGGUAAGCACUUCACCAAGAGAAAGUAUUUGAAAGCUCACACACACACAAAAGAGAUGUGUAUUUCUCCAAAGGACAGAGUGUCUUACUCCCACUCAGGAGGCAAUAUCACUAUUUUAAAGAACAAAGAUCAAAUUAAAUGUCCAAUGCUACCGUGUGCUGUUGCCGAGGAUGUCAGUAUAUUUAUGAACAAUUCAUAAUUUGAAGUGUUUUCCAGACAGCUGGUCAUAUGCACAUUAAAGCAGUCAUAAUAACCUGUCAGGAGAAAUUUCCUACAGCACAUUCAUUGGAGAAAAUACAGGUAAGCCUGGCAGCCUUUGAAAACCCCACCAGAUCCCUUUAUCUUGUAAACAGCUACCACCACAGCUGCAAAGCCCACAGAAAGCCCAGAGCUCACAAGGCUUAUUGUAUCCCUGCCUUGUACGUCUGCCCCCCACUGUGCAGAAUUUGGACGAAAUAUGCCUUUAUAUAUACAGAGUUUGCCAGCUCCGCACGGAAUCAAACAGAUCUCCAACGUCCACGCUAAAGAUCUGUCUUAAUCACGUGCCUGGAGGGAGACUGCUCUCCCUACGAGCUCUCUUUUGCAAAACAACUGCCUGGCUUCUCAAGACUGAAGGAUCUUGAUAGCAUGGCAGGACUUGAACGGUGGUGUCGGGAAAAGGCUCAGGCGUGGAGGUAUACAGACAGAUUUGCAUCCUGGUUCCACCACUUACUAGAUGUGUGUGGGCAAGUUACUUAAACGUCUAAGCGUUUUAUUUUCUUCUGUCUUUUUGUAGGGCUGCACCCACGGUAUAUGGAUGUUCCCAGGCUAGGAGUCGAAUCGGAGCUGCAGCUGCUGGCCUACACCAUAGCCACGGAAACGCCAGAUCCAAGCCGCGUCUGUGACCUACACCGCAGCUCAAGGCAGCGCCAGAUCCUUAACCCACUGAGCGAGGCCAGGGAUCAAACCCGCAUCCUCAUGGUUCCUAGUUGGGUUCGUUAACCACAGAGCCAUGGCAGGAACUCCAAGUUGCCUAGUUCUUAAUCAACUUCUAUGUGGUACUUGUGACUCAUCUUUACCCACGCAACUACCUUGCAUAAAAUCGAUAACCAACAAGGCCUACUGCACAGCACAGGGAACGGUAUUCAGUGUCUUGUAACAACCUAUGAUGGAAAAGAAUCCCUGUAUCGAGUCGCUUCCCUAUUCAGCAGAAAUGAACAGAGUGUUGUAAAUCAACUACGCUUCACUUUUAAAAUGGCAUAGUUUCCCCCCCGUGAUCCUGGGUUAUCUCUGGACCUCCCCCAGGGCGUCUGUGUAACCACCACCACAUUUAAAUUUACCUUCACACCAGCCACCUACAUGUUUUCCAGCAGCACUUGCAUUUUUGGAAUCUGGUCGAACAACCACCACACACAACGCACAGUCACGGACACCAGUUCCUCGCCUCCUCGCCUCCUCACGGAUCAAAUCAGGCCAGCCUCCUACCUGAUCAGGAACAAUCAAUUCCCUCGGGUUUUGUUCUUCCCCAGCAAACUGGUUUUCCUGAACACAUGUCCAUCUCCAGGACUUUUCCUUGUUGUUGUUGACUUUAUUUUUUAAGAGUGAAAUAAAUCGAAUGACUUGCUGAACCACCUCUGGACUUCUUACCCCCGCAUUACAGCAAAUUAUCCCUCCUGGUGGAGAUAAUGUUUGGAAAUGAACGUUGAGGCACGUUACUGAUGGGAAGUUGGGGCACAAGAAGCAGGCUUGCUCCGCCACAACAGGGGCAUAUUUCAACAGGCUCCCGCUGCUGAAAUAACCUGCCGCUCCCCACCGCUCACGCAGCCACCUCGGCCACUUCGGCGGGUGUGCUGCCAGCACGGGGCUUUCUGUAAUUUCUUGACUGUGGGGACUGCUCCCUGGUCAUCAGGGUUAUGUGUUUCACUGAUUGAACACAGGACACUACCUGGAUUUCCUCUGAGAGAAAAAGCAGGACAAAGCAGAACCUGGACAAAUUCCCUCUUGUUCAUUGCGGUCUAGGGUUGGCCAGCUUUUUCGGUCCAGUACCCAAUAGUACAGGUCUUCCCGACUUUGUGUCUCUAUGGUCUCUGUUGUAAUUCCUCAGCUCUGUCAGUGGGUACCAGCCAUACCUAACAGGCAAACGAAUAAGCAAGGCUGGCUUUCAAUAAAUCUUUCUUUAUGGAUGCAAACUUGAAUUUCAUGUAAUUUUCAUGUGUCUUGCAAGAUGAUUCACCGUUGGAUUUUUUUCAGCCAUUAAAAAUGUAAAAGCCAUUCUUAGCUCACAGGUGUACAAAGCAGGGUGGGCUCGGGGUGGCCCCCGUCUCCGAAAGAGCAUCCUAGAGUCCUCAGGAGGGAAGGCGUCUUGGAGCACACUGAAAUAAAAUAGCCCCAUUUGACAGGUAAAGAAAGCAAGUCUUAGACAAGGUAAGCAGCUGACCAGAAGAGAGUUGGGUGACGAGUGGGGAGCAGAACACCGGUGUGUGGACUCUCUGAUCUGGACGUCUUUCUAUCAUCCACCGUUUAGGGAGCCGAUAGGAACCAAGCUGGAGUGGCAGCAUGACCUGCUGUGCUGAGUCUCUCAGGGACCCACAAGGAUGAAUGCGGCGUCGCAACCUCAUUUCUGAGCACGACAAGAAUCAGGUCUGGGCAGUACAGGCUGUGGGAGCCAGAGGCCCCCGACACAUUGUCCUUUAGCUGCAAAAGCUUUUGUCCCGUUGGUUCUCUCCAUUCCAUAGAGGAAGGGCAGAGGAAGAAAGGACGCUAACAGCAACACCGCUACCACUUACUAGACGCCUUUUCUAGGACAACGCGGCAGAUGAGUUAGAAGCAGAGGCUCCACAGCCGAAGUGCCUGGGUUCAAGUCCCUUCUCUACCGCGUGCUCUUUAUGGGACCUUGGCAAGGUCUCUAGCCUCCUUGUGUGUCCUGAGGUUGAACCAGAAGAUGCUUAAGAUAGUACUUGGAGCGUUGCUGGUGUUUACACUCCCUCAUCCUCAGAAUGACCCUUAGAGGCAAGAACAAAUCAUGUGACAUAUAAGGACACCAAGAUUUGGACAAGUGACUUGACCAAGGUCCCCCCACUGGAAUUUGAAGCCAGCUCUGCCCAUUCUCUGAACUGUGAGGCUAUUCUUUCUCUUCCUGAAGGAAAAACAGAGAGAAAAAUGAGCAGGGGCUGCCAUGGAUUAUUCCAAGUUCCCCGUUGUGGUUCAUCUCUUCAUGAUCACAGCUUCAACCACAAGAGUGCUAAGCCGACUUCCUGUUUUUUAAAAAUAUGUCGAGAGCUCACCUUGACUUUGUCCUGACAUUGAGAGUCCAGUUUUGGUGAGACCGGAAUGGGGCCAUGUGGAUUCUUUUUCAUCUGCUUUCCUUUAUCUUUGAUGGACUUUACAAUAGCAGCAAAAAUACUGUCGGUAUGGCCCCCUGACCAUAUGACUCUCAGUGUCUGUUGCCUUGUUUUCUGCAUGAACAGUGCAUCAAAGAGAGCAUCACAAGCCCUGUGUUUGCACCAAGAACUGAACAUAAAGCUUGGAGCUGCCUGUGUGCCAGUAGGUUCAGGGGGCUUCCCAAGGAGUUGUGCCUGGUCCCCAAGCCCUGCCUCAUUCUCUAGAAGGUGGGAGGUGUUGGGGAGGCAGGUCCUGUGGCCGGAUGUAAAAGGAGCUGAUGAGGGAAGGUGAGCCACAUCCAGGGGGAGAGGAAAAUGAUGAAAUAGACGGAACGGCUUGCCCUGGGAUGGCUGGCUUGUCUUGGCCAGGCUGGCCCAGGAGGGCUGUGUCAAAGGGCUGGGAGUGUCCCAGGAGGAACCUCAGGAAGGUCAGGUCUCCCUCCUGAUCCCUGAAGCAAAUGCAUUCCCAUACUGGGAGGAUUCUUCCAGGAAAGGUCAAUAUCACACGGUAAUGAGAGAACCCACGUGCCUCUGGGUGGGUGGGACCACUUGUAGCUAACGUGUGAAUGUAAACUGGUACAGCCACUGUGGAGAACAGUUUGGAGAUCCCUUAGAAAUCUAUACAUAGAACUUCCAUAUGACCCUGCAAUCCCACUCUUGGGCAUCUACCUGGACAAAACUCUACUUAAAAGAGACACAUGCACCCGCAUGUUCAUAGCAGCUCUAUUCACAAUAGCCAAGACAUGGAAACAACCCAAAUGUCCAUCGACAGAGGAGUGGAUUCGGAAGAUGUGGUAUAUAUACACAAUGGAAUACUACUCAGCCAUAAAAAAGGAUGACAUAAUGCAAUUUGCAGCAACAUGGAUGGAACUAGAGACUCUCGUACUGAGUGAAAUGAGUCAGAAAGACAAAGAUAAAUACCAUAUGAUAUCACUUAUAACUGGAAUCUAAUAUCCAGCAAAAAUGAACAUAUCCUCAGAAAAGAAAAUCAUGGACUUGGAGAAGAGACUUGUGGCUGCCUGAUGGGAGGGGGAGGGAGUGGGAGGGACUGGGAGCUUAGGCUUAUCAGACACAACUUAGAAUAGAUUUCCAAGGAGAUCCUGCUGAAUAGCAUUGAGAACUUUGUCUAGAUACUCAUGUUGCAACAGAACAAAGGGUAGGGGAGAAAAAUGCAAUUGUAAUGUAUACAUGUAUGGAUAACUUGAUCCCAUUGCUGUACAGUGGGAAAAAAAAAAAAAUUUUUGGAGUUCCCGUUGGGGCUCAGGGGUUAACAAAUCCAACUAGGAACCAAGAGGAAGCGGGUUCGAUCCCUGGCAUUGCUGUGGCUC
rnacentral:lncRNA from 1 species